CUCAGGUCGGUAGUAUCCACUGAUAAAAAAUAUCUUUCAAUUAUAUCUGCAUAUGUUUCCCUUGUCCAACAAUUGCCGCACAAAAUAAAUCUUUAAUUUUAGCACUACGCAGAAGAAGAUGACAAAAACUUUCAUAAUUAGAGACACUUAGUCCAGCCCUAAGCACAAACGACAUGAAAGGUAUACAUAAUGAAAUCUAAAUUAAAAUUUCCAUAAACAAAAAAAUCAAAAUAAAUAAAUAAAUAAAUUCCCGAGCCACAUAUGACAAAGCACACAAAAGCACUGUCUCUUCAGCUUGUAUAUAUAAACCUGCUUGCUCAUAAUAAAUUAAUUAAAUCCCAAUUGAGUUUUGUGACAAAUACUUUCAUUGUCUUCUCCACAAAUGGCUUCCACAAGAAUUAUAAUUAUGGCUCUUUUCUUAUUAAUGGGUCUUCUCAAUUCCUCACAAGUUACAGACGCUCGACAACUCAAUACACUGCCAUCUAAAGAAGGUGAAAAGAUGGGAAGUGAUGCACGUUUUGAGUGCCCGAAUGGGUGCUGUGGUAUAGCCAGCCCAUAUUGUCGAUGCUGUCCUUACCCCAACACUCACUCUUCCACCAAGCCACUUAUCUAGCUAGACUGCUUCAUGUUUUUUUAUUUUUUUUUCUUUGUAUAACUUGUAUCCUCUGUCUAAUCCUUCAUCUAAUAAGGUGUUCAAAGAAAGGAAAGGAAAGUGUGUAUCUUCAGAAAAUUUAGAUGAUUCACUCAAAAUGUGAGCAUCUUUGAGUGUAAAGACAAAAUAUAUAUUUAAUUUAAUAAAUAAUAAAAUUACAUACAAUUUUAAUAUUUUUAAAUUGAAAA